CCUCUCUCCACAUUCCAAAGCUAACCCAGAAGGGCAGCUGAAUCUUACUUCAACACUGGCUAUGGAAGAGCUUCCUCUUCGGCACAAGAAGACUGGUCAGGGGGCUGCUGCCACUGCCCCACUCCCAGCAUUCGCAACUUGAGGCGGCCGUCUCUCUCUCACAAAUGGUAGGGCUGGUCCUUUCAGCUUUUUUACAUGGAACUGUGUGGUACCUGGCUGGCCUGUUAACAGAGGAGAUCUGUUAACAUGACAAAAGGGGUUGUUGAUAGGCCACCCGAGAGGAAUCCUUUGGCCUGGGGAGCCAGAUGGGACCGUGUGUUUGAGGUGACAGGAAAAGAGAGUUUUUGAGCAAGGGGUGCUGGGAAGAAGGAAGAAGAAGAGAGACUGGGAUCCAUCUUGAGAAGGCUGGCUGGGAGAGGUGCCUGGGACUCCAAGGCUGUAGCUUCAUCUGGUUUGUUGAUCCAUUUUAACAAGGGCUACAAUCUGUAGCCAGUUUUAAAUUGACAUAUUAAUCUGCUCCAACUUCCGCUAAUUAGCAAUGACAGAUUUUAAUCAGCGGAGGCACAAGUUGUGUGCACUUGUUUAGAGUCUGAGAAUGUUUUUGUUUUGGGUGUCAUGGGGAUGAGAAAAACAAUCGAAGAAGGGCUUUUUUAUUUUAAAUAAGUUGAAGCUUCUGUGAAAGCUGUAAGCAACCUCAACAGCUUUGUCAUGUUCUGGUCCAGUACCAGAACCCACGGGGGAAGUCGUGAGGGUGGCUGAAGGUUUCCGGACCGUGGGGAGCUCUGAGUGAGCAACAUGCUCCAGGAAAGGUUAGGAGCAGGCUGAGGUCUUUUAUGCCUCUGUCUCCAGACCACCUUUUUCGUGCUCCAUCCCUUUGAUGCAACAUUGGAGAUUUACAGGGCCAACCCUCUGCCCUGAAGAUGGACACUCCUUCAUUCCCGGUGUGCUUCUGGUCUGGCUCUCCACACUCAGAUGUCCAUCAGGAUUCUGGCUCUGGCUUUGCAGACCUUGGUGGUUCCUCUGGGAGUUCUGGUCCAACUGCCUCAGGCACACUGGUCUCACUGCCUUCUGCAGCCAGCUCACCCCAGCUCACCCCAGACACAGCUCCCCAUCUGAUGCUCCUGCAGCCUUUGACUCUCUUUCCAAAUCAUGGCUGGAUAUCACAAACUUGAAGUCACCUAUAUUAAGGCUUUGGCAAAAGGCAAAUUAUUGACUGACCGGUUCAACAUUAGAUUAGAUAUCCCAUUGUUUUAAAAUCAGUUCAACUACAUUUA